rnacentral:rRNA from 1 species
UACGUAGGGAGCAAGCGUUGUCCGGAAUCAUUGGGCGUAAAGAGCGUGUAGGCGGCCUGAUAAGUCGGCUGUGAAAGUCAAGGGCUCAACCCUUGAAUGCCGGCCGAUACUGUCAGGCUAGAGUCCGGAAGAGGCGAGUGGAAUUCCUGGUGUAGCGGUGAAAUGCGCAGAUAUCAGGAGGAACACCUAUGGCGAAGGCAGCUCGCUGGGACGGUACUGACGCUGAGGAGCGAAAGCGUGGGGAGCGAACAGG